GUGAUGUCUGGGAAGAGACGCUGAAACAUGACUUUCAGAAGCCAUCCUGUUUGAAGGAUGAUUGUACUCUGGGAAGCAUUGAACUAUGACCAUUGUGUGUCCCCUCCAUAGCCUCAGAGUAUAAUGAAAGUCAGUUUCCGCCCUUUUGCAUUUAGCUUGGUCCACAAACGACACAAUUCAGGAGGAUUAACACCACCAGCUGGGAGCAAUAUCACAGAAAACGUUUUUGAAAGAUCUUGAAGCAUACCUACAGGCAUGUUGGUGAGAAAUUUGUUUCAUUUGAAGAGCAAACUCAGUGCCACAGACUGACACACCCUCUGAGGAAAACCAAGGGCAGAUCCAUUUUUUUAUAUAGGGGCAGGGACAUAAGAGAGCAAGAGCAGAAGCAUGCCAAGGCCUCUAGAUGUGAACCUGGCACUCUGUCGUUUUUGCCACAUUAUUUUGGUCAGUGCAUAUCACAAAGCCUGGUUAAAGUGGUAGGGAAUUAGACUCCAUCUCUCAAUGGAAGGAGCUGCAAAGUCACGUUGCCCAUGGUGUAGACUUCAGGGAGCAGCCAUUUUUACAAAUAAUCUUCCACACGGGCCAAACUCACUGAAGUACAGAAGUUGUGGGUGGUGGGUGAGGGGGGUGGAACAUGAGGAUAUCUUUUUAGGAAGACUGUGUUGGCAAGAACUCACACUCAAACACGAGAAGUCAUGGAAGAGACUGAAGGAGAUGGGGGGCUGAGUCAGUAAAUCUAAUAAAAGUUAUAAUGGUCACGUCUUAGUCCAUUUGGGCAGCUAUAACAAAA